GACGUAGGUGGCGAACGUUAUCCGGAAUUAUUGGGCGUAAAGGCUGCGUAGAUGGUGUAGUAAGUUAUCGGUGGCAAAUCGAGGCUCAACCUCGUGGAAGUCGGUAAUACUGCUAUGCUAGAGGAUAGGAGAGGUUAACGGAACUCCCUGUGGAGCGGUGAAAUGCGCAGAUAUCGGGAGGAACACCGGUGGCGAAGGCGGUUCUCUGGGCCUGUACUGACGCUGAGGAGCGAAAGCGUGGGGAGCGAACAGG
rnacentral:rRNA from 1 species